AGUGAACGCUGGCGGUAGGCCUAACACAUGCAAGUCGAACGGCAGCACAGAGGAGCUUGCUCCUUGGGUGGCGAGUGGCGGACGGGUGAGGAAUACAUCGGAAUCUACUCUGUCGUGGGGGAUAACGUAGGGAAACUUACGCUAAUACCGCAUACGACCUACGGGUGAAAGCAGGGGAUCUUCGGACCUUGCGCGAUUGAAUGAGCCGAUGUCGGAUUAGCUAGUUGGCGGGGUAAAGGCCCACCAAGGCGACGAUCCGUAGCUGGUCUGAGAGGAUGAUCAGCCACACUGGAACUGAGACACGGUCCAGACUCCUACGGGAGGCAGCAGUGGGGAAUAUUGGACAAUGGGCGCAAGCCUGAUCCAGCCAUACCGCGUGGGUGAAGAAGGCCUUCGGGUUGUAAAGCCCUUUUGUUGGGAAAGAAAUCCAGCCGGCUAAUACCUGGUUGGGAUGACGGUACCCAAAGAAUAAGCACCGGCUAACUUCGUGCCAGCCGCCGCGGUAA
rnacentral:rRNA from 1 species